UUUUAUUUGAGAGUUUGAUCCUGGCUCAGGAUGAACGCUGGCGGCGUGCCUAACACAUGCAAGUUGAGCGAUUUACUUCGGUAAAGAGCGGCGGACGGGUGAGUAACGCGUGGGUAACCUACCCUGUACACACGGAUAACAUACCGAAAGGUAUGCUAAUACGGGAUAAUAUAUUUGAGAGGCAUCUCUUAAAUAUCAAAGGUGAGCCAGUACAGGAUGGACCCGCGUCUGAUUAGCUAGUUGGUAAGGUAACGGCUUACCAAGGCGACGAUCAGUAGCCGACCUGAGAGGGUGAUCGGCCACAUUGGAACUGAGACACGGUCCAAACUCCUACGGGAGGCAGCAGUGGGGAAUAUUGCAAAAU
rnacentral:rRNA from 1 species